AAAAAAGUGAACCUGGAACAUUCUCUAACACCACAUAAAAAGUAAACUCAAAAUGGAUGAAAGAUUGAAAUGUAAGACAGGAUACUAUAGAACUCCUAGAGGACCAUGUAGGCAGAACACUCUUUGACAUAAAU